rnacentral:rRNA from 1 species
UAGGGAAUCUUCGGCAAUGGACGAAAGUCUGACCGAGCAACGCCGCGUGAGUGAAGAAGGUUUUCGGAUCGUAAAACUCUGUUGUUAGAGAAGAACAAGGACGUUAGUAACUGAACGUCCCCUGACGGUAUCUAACCAGAAAGCCACGGCUAACUACGUGCCAGCAGCCGCGGUAAUACGUAGGUGGCAAGCGUUGUCCGGAUUUAUUGGGCGUAAAGCGAGCGCAGGCGGUUUCUUAAGCCUGAUGUGAAAGCCCCCGGCUCAACCGGGGAGGGUCAUUGGAAACUGGGAGACUUGAGUGCAGAAGAGGAGAGUGGAAUUCCAUGUGUAGCGAUGAAAUGCGUAGAUAUAUGGAGGAACACCAGUGGCGAAGGCGGCUCUCUGGUCUGUAACUGACGCUGAGGCUCGAAAGCGUGGGGAGCAAACAGG